GUGAAUCAUCAAAUUUUUGAACGCAAAUUGCACUUUCUGGUAUUAUGGAAAGUAUGCAAGUUUGAGGGUCAGUUAAAUAAAAAUAGGUGUUGUUGAUGAUUUUCGUGGUGACGCGUUGGCUUUGAGUUGUCUUACUUUCGGUUAAGUGAUUUGUAGUUUUGCAUGAUUUUGGAUCGUAUUUUAAUUUAUUACGUACGUUUGUGAUUUAGUGUAAUUUAU
rnacentral:misc_RNA from 1 species